rnacentral:lncRNA from 1 species
UAGCUAAUUCAUGGAGUCUUUGAUAACUAGAGCAGCAGUAUGGUUUCCUUUUUUAUAGACACAAUGAUUUAGAUUUUACAUUUGAACUCAACAGUAGAUGAAAAUGGGAGUUGUGGCUCUCUUUCUGAUUUUUUUAAUUUUUUUACUCUAUAUAAUUUGAGCCUAGAUGUCUCUUUUAUAUGUUAUGUAUUGCCCUGUCCAAGGGCAAUCUGCCGUGGUUGGAAAAUGCUCCAGUAAUUGUCAUCUUUCUUUCUAAUAUUUUGGCUUCACAAAACAUUCAUUAAUCU